AGCGAACGUUAGCGGCGGGCCUAACACAUGCAAGUCGAACGCGAAAGGUCUUCGGACUGAGUAGAGUGGCGCACGGGUGAGUAACACGUAGGUAAUCUACCCUUUGGCGGGGGAUAACGUUCCGAAAGGAGCGCUAAUACCGCAUAAGACCACCGGAGUCUCCGGACGCUGUGGGAAAAGGUGGCCUCUUCUUGAAAGCUACCACCGAAGGAUGAGCCUGCGUCCCAUCAGCUAGUUGGUAAGGUAAUGGCUUACCAAGGCGAAGACGGGUAGCUGGUUUGAGAGAAUGAUCAGCCACACUGGCACUGGGAACACGGGCCAGACUCCUACGGGAGGCAGCAGUGAGGAAUAUUGGGCAAUGGGCGAAAGCCUGA
rnacentral:rRNA from 1 species